UAUUGGAAUAUAACAGUGUCGUGUUAAUCAGACCUCGUCAAUUGCGACUAGGUUGUAAAUAUCGAGAUAGCUGUUUGGCGACUUUAUUGUUUGAACUUGACAAGGCAAAUUUGUACGAUUGGUCGAGUCUUCAAACAGAAUAUGCGAUACAGAGCCUUAUAGCCAAUGGGCUUUCGAGGACAGAUGGUUGCGCGGGAGCUAAACGAAUGCGACGAUUUUAGGACGUUUACGGUGCUGAGACGGUUGCGGAGGCGUUCAAUGAAUUCACUGUAAGAUAUCGAAGGGAGACAUAACUGAGUUUGGUAAUAAGCGAGGUACGAAGCACUGUUGUCAAGGGGGAUUGAUGGGUUGGCAGUCCUCCGUGAGCGAUCGAGGCGCCUUUCGUCAUCCAGCGGACGUCUCGUCAACUAAUCAGCAUGGAUCGCGCUCCAUGUUCGGCCGAGGAAGCAAUGCGGUGUCCCCGCGGAUAGGGCGUGCAGUUCUCGUGUUGUACCUCGCCGUUUUUUUUCGUGAUCAGUGAACGUGUUACGAAUCGACUGGUGCCACUGGGACAACAAUAUACCGCUGAAUCUCGGUCGGAUCGUCGAGUGUUUACGAGUGAUUUGGUGAAUUUUGUGGAUCGUGGUUGCACGACGCGAAUGAGGUGAAUGCUCGGCGGCAGUGGUGCUGUAGAGAAAACCGCCAAAAUUAUCAUUUACUUCUGUUCAAUUUCUCAUUCUAAUAACGGCAUCGAGCUGUUGUUGGUGUAUUUGUGAUUUGUAUGUGCCAGUGCGCGGUCCCGGAGGUGUUCCAGGCAUUUGUUAUUAUUUUGCUGCGGUGCUUUUGACCCGAAAGCGGGCGAGUUCACUCGAGCCUGUCUAGAGGGGUGUCCGGUGCCUCGUCUGCAACGGCUGCCCGUGGCACGCAACUCCGAUAUUCCCUGGCAACGCUCGACACCUUGGAUCUCCUCUGCUCGAAUAUCUCGACUCUUCUACGUACUGGAAAUCACGUGGGUGUUGUUGGCCUGGCUUCAGAAGAAUUAUGUAAAUACGAAGACAAUUAUAUGCCGAAAAGAAAAGUGAAUCAACGCUGCUAAUUUUUGAUGACAUCGUCUCGCAUAUAACAGCUACGAACUGCAAUCGUUGUAACAUUGCCGGAAAAGGUUGAAAUUAUUGAAACUCUCCUCGAAAGAAGCAAAGGUAAAAAAAAAAAAAAAAACACGAAUAAGAAUACGGAGAAGAAGAAGUAACGAAAAAAGAAAUAAAACAAAAUAAAAUACCUGUUCAACUAAUCAUUUAUAGUAUAAAAAAAAAGUGCAACAAAACAAACAAACAAACAAACAAAAACCGACUGAAGUCUUAACCUUGACUUAAAUAAAUAGCAACAAAUCACCGCCAAAGUAGUGUUUAAAAAAAAAAAAAAACAAGAAAGAAGAAACUAUUAUAAAGAAAAAGACAACCGUUAGUGUAUAUAAGAGCUAUUUUUCCUACGCAACAGAAACAAAACAAAACAUAUUUCUCUAACUUUCGGGUAAAUUUAUAAUUAUACACUCUCGAUAGCCG